CGGCCUGAGGUCGGACGAGGCUACCCGCUGAAUUUAAGCAUAUUACUAAGCGGAGGAAAAGAAACUAACGAGGAUUCCCUCAGUAACGGCGAGUGAAGCGGGACGAGCCCAGCGCCGAAUCCGGCCGCUUAUGGAGCGGACGGAAUUGUGGCGUAUGGAAUUCGCUUCGAGCGCGGACCGGCUGCCCACGUCCUUCUGAUCGAGGCUUCAUCCCAUAA
rnacentral:ncRNA from 1 species